GGCGCUGUCAGUUGCUCAGCGCACAGCUUGCUGGGAGUUGUAGGACGAGGGGUCCUCGUCCCAGAGGCUUCGGACGCUAUGAAGGACGUUUCUGCUCGGCCGGCCUGAGCCCACGAGUUCCCGCCUGGGCCUCCUUAGCUUAUUUUAGUCCAGGAAUCCCCCAGGCUCAGCAUGCAGGUUACAAGAGCUUCGUUUCCCGGGGCUCAGGGCCCCGAGGUUCUGGGGACCCGUCUGGGAGACCGUUGAACCGAGGGCUGGCUUCGUGGUUCCCUGGGGUGAAGAAGCCGUUGUGUGACCCGUCGGGGCCAGGGGCGCGGAAGGCCAGAGGGGUUAGUAUCCUCACCAGGAGUCUCCUUAUUCGGCCCUGUGGGGGCUUUGCCACACCCGAGAUCUGGGACCUGUAUCUCCACAAUUUCCAGAAAUGGAUUCCUUUGUUAUUUGUAUUUAAUGAACAUGUCAACUUGCCAGAUUAAUCACGAAACUUUUGAUGUAGAAGAGACCCUUUGUCUGGACUACAUUCGCCCCAGAUAUCUUCAUGGCUUGUUCCCUAUCAGAAUGGAUUCUGUGGGACUGCAUAUUUUUUUGUGAUAGUCAGGCCACUUUCUGUUUUUUUCUUUUCCCUUCCUUCGGAAGAGCUGUUCAAAAUGGUGUCCUUGAGGCUGAACAAGAAUGAACGCGUAAGCUGGUCUCGGAAGCCAGGUCGGACCAACCGGAAAAGGCAUCACCUCAGCAGAUGACACCCAUCUUCUGAAGGCUUAGAGGUGGUCCCCAAAGGAUGCUUGGGGACACGACAAGGUGGUGUCAUUAGAACCAGUUGGGAGAGGCUUGCGGUUCCACUGCCAGCCCCUUUGUGAACCAGGGGAGUGCUGUGAUGGAAAAUGGCCCGAGUGUAACUGAGGAAGCAUUGCGGUCUCCUCCAGGGAGGAGAGCUGUCCUCACCGACAGCUGAAAAUCCACGUGAGCAGCAAAGCCGAAAGCUCCCGGUGAAUCCUCAUGUGUUAACACAUGUAAUAAUGUGAUGGUCAGUAUUUAUGUAAUAUUUUAAACCUCUUGUAGCACUUUUACACAUGACCCUACUCUUUUAGAAAUAGUAUGGGUCGUGAUGAUGGAUUUGAGUUUGCAUUCUGGUUCAACCUA